GUGGGGAAUAUUGCACAAUGGGGGAAACCCUGAUGCAGCCAUGCCGCGUGUGUGAAGAAGGCCUUCGGGUUGUAAAGCACUUUCAGCGAGGAGGAAAGGUCAGUAGCUAAUAUCUGCUGACUGUGACGUUACUCGCAGAAGAAGCACCGGCUAACUCCGUGCCAGCAGCCGCGGUAAUACGGAGGGUGCAAGCGUUAAUCGGAAUAACUGGGCGUAAAGCGCACGCAGGCGGUUGGAUAAGUUAGAUGUGAAAGCCCCGGGCUCAACCUGGGAAUUGCAUUUAAAACUGUCCAGCUAGAGUCUUGUAGAGGGGGGUAGAAUUCCAGGUGUAGCGGUGAAAUGCGUAGAGAUCUGGAGGAAUACCGGUGGCGAAGGCGGCCCCCUGGACAAAGACUGACGCUCAGGUGCGAAAGCGUGGGGAGCAAACAGGAUUAGAAACCCCUGUAGUCC
rnacentral:rRNA from 1 species